rnacentral:misc_RNA from 1 species
AAGACUAUAGACCUGCGGAGUACCUGCGGAGGGAUCAUUGAGAGAGGGUAGUUGGUGGGAGGGGAAUGAGGGGAGAGGGUGACUCUUGAUGGGAGGCGACUCUCGAUGGGAGACAUCUCUUGAUUCCCACCCACACCACAACACAUUCACGCUUGCUGUGUUUGACUGUUUCAAUAAAAUUUCGUUUUUUACACAACUUUCAACAAUGGAUCUCU